rnacentral:lncRNA from 1 species
CCUGCUCCCCUCUCAGGAGGACAAAAAAUCCCAGAGUUCUUCCAAAAUCCAUUUCCAUGGCAGAAAACAGACACAUGACCCAUAUUUAGUUCAGUGUUCCCUCACUUUCUCCCUUCAAAAGUUUAAAAGAAACAAAAACCAAAAAACAAAAUAAAAUAACCAAAAAAAAAAAAAGGCAGCCACUGAGACCCCCUGACGCAUCACCAGUGUAAUAGAU